rnacentral:rRNA from 1 species
GACGGGGGAUGCGAGCGUUAUCCGGAAUGAUUGGGCGUAAAGGGUCCGCAGGUGGCCCGGUCAGUCCGCUGUCAAAGCCUGGGGCUCAACCCUGGAGAGGCGGCGGAGACCACCGGGCUUGAGUCCGGUAGGGGCAGAGGGAAUUCCCGGUGGAGCGGUGAAAUGCGUAGAGAUCGGCAGGAACACCCAGGGGGAAACCAGCGGACUGGCUCGUUGCUGACACUGAGGUGCGACAGCGUGGGGAGCGAACGGG